rnacentral:rRNA from 1 species
AAUAGCCUAACGGCUGAACCAGCAACUUGGAAGAAUGUAUAAUGAAUAAGUCAUAUAAAGUUCUAGAUAAGAGAAAGAUAAUGACAAAUUUUUAUCUAUAAGUCUUGGCCAAAUUACGUGCCAGCAGCCGCGGUAAUACGUAAAAGACUAGUGUUAUUCAUCUUUAUUGGGUUUAAAGGGUACCUAGACGGAAAAUAAAGCCAUAACUGGAACUAAUUUUCUAGAGUUUAAUAGGAGAAAGUUGAAUUACUGGAGAAGAGUCAAAAUAUUAUUAUACUAGUAGGACGGACAACGGCGAAGGCUACUUUCUAUCUAAAAACUGACGUUGAGGGACGAAGCCUUGGGUAGCAAUAAGGAUUUGAUACCCUAGUAGUCCUUGGAGACAAUUAUGAGUGUCAUAGGUUUAAUACUAUAUUUAGUUAAACCUAUAAAUGAAAAUGUAAGCACUCCACCUCAUGAGUAAAGCGGCAACGCCGAAAUUGAAAUCAUUAGACCGUUUCUGAAACCAGUAGUGAAGUAUGUUAUUUAAUUCGAUAAUCCGCGAAUAACCUUACCACGCCUUGUAUAAUAUUUAAUUAUUACAAGCGCUGCACGGCUGUCUUCAGUUAAUGUCGUGAGAUUAUGGUUAGUUCCUUCAAUUAACGAAAACCCUUGUUUUAUUUAUUAUUAUAAAACAGUUCACCACUAUAUUGGAGAAGAUAAUAGGGACUAAGACAAGUCAUCAUGGCCUUAAUGGCG